CCGGGAAUUUUGCGCAAUGUACGAAAGUCUGACGCAGCAACGCCGCGUGAGGGAUGACGGCCUUCGGGUUGUAAACUGCUUUUGCCAGGGGAUAAAAUUUCCAUGCGUGGAGAAUUGAAGGUACCUGGUGAAUAAGCCACGGCUAACUACGUGCCAGCAGCCGCGGUAAUACGUAGGUGGCAAGCGUUGUCCGGAUUUAUUGGGUUUAAAGGGUGCGUAGGCGGUUCCAUAAGUCAGUGGUGAAAUACAAUAGCUUAACUAUUGAGGUGCCAUUGAUACUGCGGAACUUGAGUACAGACGAGGUAGGCGGAAUUGACGGUGUAGCGGUGAAAUGCGUAGAUAUCGGGAGGAACACCUGAGGCGAAGGCGGGCUACUAGGCUGAUACUGACGCUGAGGCGCGAAAGCCAGGGGAGCAAACGGGAUUAGAUACCCUUGUAGUCCCUGAGCGGGCUGGCAAGGCGCAU
rnacentral:rRNA from 1 species